rnacentral:tRNA from 3 species
GGGUGCUUAGCUCAGCUGGUAGAGCGGCGCCCUUACAAGGCGUAGGUCGGGAGUUCGAGCCUCUCAGCACCCACCA